rnacentral:rRNA from 1 species
UACGGGGGGGGCAAGCGUUGUUCGGAAUUACUGGGCGUAAAGGGCUCGUAGGUGGCCAACUAAGUCAGACGUGAAAUCCCUCGGCUUAACCGGGGAACUGCGUCUGAUACUGGAUGGCUUGAGUUUGGGAGAGGAAUGCGGAAUUCCAGGUGUAGCGGUGAAAUGCGUAGAUAUCUGGAGGAACACCGGUGGCGAAGGCGGCAUCCUGGACCGGUAUUGACGCUGAGGCGCGAAAGCCAGGGGAGCAAACGGG